UCUGUUUAUUAUAACUGUGUAACUUCUCAAUGCAGUUGACAUAAAUCCCAGCAAGUUGCAGAUUUAACAGGCUGUGUGUGAUUGUUCAGCAAAUACACACAAAUAUCACACUUACAGACACUCACAUGGUGCUUUUCCUCACAGCCUCACUAAAACCAACCUGGAAUGUGUUCUUUAAUUCUUUAAAAAAAUAUUUAUUUACUGAUAAUGGGACAAGUAUUUGUAAUCCAAAGAACAGCUAUAUUUAUUCAAAAUAAUCUAUCAGACUUUAACUACUCUCAUUCUGUUGUUUUUAUUAUAUGACUUGAUAAGUGAUGCUAGUGAGAGGGCAGCUAUUUAAGGGCUUCACUAACCAUGGGCUGAUGUGUUGAAGCAGAACUGUGAGUCAGAGAGUUUCAGCAAAAGAAUCACACAAACAUGGUCAUGGUUUUCUCUGAACGCAGCUGUGAGUCAUGUUGGGCGAAUUCCUCAUGUAAACACUGGCCUAACACACCACAGUUGUACAUACGUGGGAGCAUUCGGCUCAGUUUUCUUCCUGCUGGAGAGAAAAAGUGAACCUCGCAACAACAGGAGGCGCCCACAUAACAAUUUAUCAAUCAAAGAAGAAUCAUCUAAAAAAGCUGCCGCUUUAACAUUGCUGUUUAACAAUGCAUGAAUGAAGAGUGAUUUUUAGUUCUUUGUGCCAUUUAGGGCUCUUUUUGGAUAACUGUGCAGAGUGAUUAUGCAUAUUAAUUCACUGCAAAUAGUAAAUAGGUAUAGCUUCUUAAAAAAUAGUUUUAUAACCAAAAGAAAAAGUUUUCCUAUAUUUGCUUUUCAUAAUGCAAAGCACAGGUGAAGCUGUGAAAGAGUCCAGUUGAAAUCAGUCCAGUAAUUUAUUCUGCAGACUCUUUGCUAUGAAAGAGGGUCAGAUGUGCUUGAAAUACCCCAAAGUUUGGGGAAACUGCUGUUAGCAACACUGGACUAGAAGGAACUGCUUUCCAAAUUAUCAAUAACUUCAAGCUAAGAGGUUCAGAUCCAGUAACGAAAGGUUAUUGAUGUCCAAGAGUUUCCAGCCGGCACCAGAACUGUCCCCUCAUCUGAGGACCGUGCUACAGAGUUGUGCUGCCACCAGCACAAAGCUUGAUCAGCAGGUAAGUGUAUUUGCAUGCAUGCACUGCUAGGUGAGGACAUGGAGAAUGGCCUUGUGACAAGAAUUGAAGCAAAGAAGUAAAUAUUUUCAGCAAUUCUUAUUUUAUGUAAAGCUAUUUGUGUUGCCCUCAUUGCACAUAGAACGUGCUUCUGCCAAGAUGUUGUUUGUAACUGGUUCAAUCGAGGAGGAAGAAAUGAAUUAAAAUCAGUCUGUGUUAACACAAGAUAAUGUCCUAUAACACUACUCUCUGCAAGGUUAUAAUGUUUAAAAUAUACUAAGCAGAGGUGAACUUUCUGUAUGAAGGUCGCACAUCUCCAGCACACACAAGGAAGUUUUUGAUUUCUCUCAGAGUGACAACUUUUGCUAAGAACUCGUGUUUGCUAUAUUGCAACUCCAGCACAAACAUCGUUCUCUAUUGGGCCUCGCUGCCUUUGUUGAGCUGGUGUGUCGAGCUUGCUGCUUCCUCAAAUUUGAACUGGAGAGGACAGUAGCUGACAGACAUUUAUUCAUGUAUUAUAACCCUGCACAGUACACAGUAUGCUGCAGUGGGAAACGAUAUGCACCUUGAUGUAUUUCAUGAUUCCAACAUGGUGAAAUUGUGGGACAUAAGUGUCCUCAAUGUUUUCAGUCAAGCACGAAAAACCCAGGAAACCCAUGCCCCUCUUCUGCCUAAGAAAAUCUGUUCCUGACUGCAUCCGUGCACACAUUUAACCCGAAAUACACACACGAGCGCUCCCCAAAACACAUGUUCACACUCCAUAAUAAUGUGGACAAUCAUGUCUCUCCUCCUCCAUGCUGAGUGUCAUUAAGUCACUGGGCAGCAGCCGCUCAGUGGGACUGAAGCUCGGAGAGCCUGUGUGUGAGCUCCACACUGCACAGGAUCUCUGGAGCGACGGAGGCUCCUUGCGCAGUCUGCUCAGGGUGACAGUUGCAGCAGUCUCUCGUUAGCCUCCUCUCUGGAUAUCUUAUGGAAGUACCAGCAGCCGGAAAACAUGCACCUAACCUCCUAUAGGAUCUAAAACCCAAAUUUUUGUCUAUGAGGAGGAGAAGGUGGACCUUGCAUCCGGGGAUAAUUUUUCCGCCAGCCUGUUUGUCUCUCUCUAUGUCUCUCCUCAUCGGCUGUUGCAGUUUAUCGCUCGAUUUUUUUUUUUUUUUAGUCUUCAUAAAAGAGGCGCUGCUGUUUCUUAGAGUCUGCCUGCUAGUCCAGCAUCCAUGAAUUCAGAUAAAAAUGCGUACCUCGGCAAAGACAAAGGCAUCAUGCGGAAGAGAGCUCUGCUCCUUCGGAAGGGUUGCAGCUUCGAGAUAACCAGCUCCGCCUCAGAGGACCUGGGCUGCAGGCGUGGAGACUUCAGCAGGAAACACUAUGGUUCAGUCGAGCUGGACCGCCCUACGGAUUUUUGUGGUCACCCCAAACCACAUGCAAGUUUGAACUGAACUAUAAAGAACGCUUUGACAAACCGAUAAAACACUUGAACAAGGAAGAGAAAGAAGAAGUGAUCAGGCAAGGAGGAUAAAGCUGCAAUGAAA